GGUCCAAAACGAGAGGUUUUUGAAUAAUAUGGAUGCCAUAUAAUAAACGAGAGAUUUCGAAAACCCAACUCCUCCGCAAAGGUUAAAGUCUGUAAGCAUACUCUCGUUUCAGCCGUGACUGCCACCUUUAAGCAUUCAGAAAACAGCCUCAGCACCGUCUCUCAGUACAGAUUUCGGCGAUCUUCCUCAACUUCUGGUUCUGCAAAGUCUGGCACACCUCCAAUAAGAUAAGUAUCCCUUCCCCUUUUCAGACAUUCUGUUGCCAAACAAUGUGUCGUUUCAUUCCCCUUUCUUGAAACAUGCUUAAACAUGCGUUUCAUGAAAAUCUGACUUAGGGUUUUGACUCUUCAAUGUAUGCACUAGUAACUGAUCCAUCUCUUAUUUUGUAUCCAGAAGUCUUUUAACCACUGAGCGCAUCCCCUUCAAUUAUAACCUCUUGGAGCUUCAGAUCUAGCCUAUUCCGAACUGCUUUAAGGCAUGCAAGGGCUUCUGCCGCAAACUCGGAUCCGUGUCCCGGAGGAAUCCAUCUCACCUCUACUCGAGUUAUGUUUGCAGACGACCUGUUCUUUAGAGCGUCGAGCUCACCAACGGCAUUCCCAGAACAAGUGCUCUAUCGUUUCUGAAUCGCUCGAACAUCUCGGACAGAUCGGGACCCCAUCAAGAGUUUGUUAUACAAAUUAUAGAAAUUAGGGAUAAAUUUACAAAAUAUUCGCCAAUUUGUAAUUUUAAUCUUUUCUGGCAGAUUUAGCCUCCAUAAUUUCUUGUAAAAAAGACUGUAAGAGCUUUGAUAUUCAGUAGACUUUCUAGGGAUUCCUGCUGUAAUAACAUCCUAUACCCACUUUUACCCGAGUA